rnacentral:rRNA from 1 species
CAGCCGCCGCGGUAAUACGAAGGGUGCAAGCGUUACUCGGAAUUACUGGGCGCAAAGCGUGCGUAGGUGGUGGUUUAAGUCCGUUGUGAAAGCCCUGGGCUCAACCUGGGAAUUGCAGUGGAUACUGGGUCACUAGAGUGUGGUAGAGGAUAGUGGAAUUUCCGGUGUAGCGGUGAAAUGCGUAGAUAUCGGAAGGAACACCUGUGGCAAAAGCGGCUCACUGGACCAUUACUGACGCUGAUGCACGAAAGCUAGGGGAGCAAACAGGAUUAGAUACCCCCGUAGUCCCUGUCUCUUAUAC